rnacentral:lncRNA from 1 species
UUAGGACGAAAUCGGAAUCUACUGCCUUCAACCCAAAUUCCCAAUUCUAGAAAUCAUCUUCCCUAUGACGAUAGGGGAAAGUAGUGGCACAAAACAGGGGACUGACCUGACCGUAGCUCCUACUCCUCCCUUCACUGCUAGGAUGCGCCAUUCCCGCCGCCCGUUGUAGAUCUACGCACCGACACCUCUAGGCUCUAGUCUUUGCUAUAGCCAACAAGAGCGUGCUGGCGAGUCCCUUGCAGUGCACAUGAGUAAGUAGUAAGCACACCCAAUCCAAGGGAUAUUUGUUUGUUUUCCAAUAUUUACAUGUAAGUAAGCACAUCCAAUCAAUUGAUAUCUAAUGUGCAUAUGAUUAAGUAGUAAGCACAUCCAAUCAAGGGGAGGGAUGUUUGAUUUCCAACGGGAGCUAUAUAUAGUUUCAUUUCAUCCUAUCUUUUGUCCAGUCAAACAGUUCCACAUCAUUAUGCUGUAGAUGAUUUCACUAUGCUGUAGAUGAUGUGGUAGUUUUGGAAAGAGUGUAAUUAAAAAGGCACUAAGCGUGGCCUAAGUAGCACACUGAAUCAAAGGGAGGGUUGUUUGAUUUCCAAUUUUUUACAUGAUUAAAUAGUAAGCACACCCAAUCCAAGAGAGGUUUCUUUGGUUUUCCAAUCUCAAAACUCAAUAUAGUAGUUCUCCAUCCUAAAUAGUACCCAAUACCGUACUUCAAUAUCAAAGAAAAUUCAUUAUUCGAAAGUUGUCUAUAUGAGAACAGACCAUCCGCCUUUUUGACCAGUAUCAUGAUAUCAUGAUAUACCAAAGAUUUUGAAUCCAAAUUUGAUGACUUUGGGUUCAGAUUCUGCUGAUUCUAUCAACAAAUAUUUGGUAUAGAUUAUGCUGAUUGUAGCAAGAAUCAGAAAUGUCUAUUAGAACAGACUAUUAGACAUCAUACUAUUCGGUUGUUUGUCUGGUUUUCAACUAACCAGAACGUCCUUUGGUCGCCAUUACCUGCCGCGGACCAGCCUUCCCAAAAUCUUUCCGAGGCGCUAUUCAAAUAUUCGGACACUAAGGCCAAGCCGUGUGAUAGAUGAGAAAUGUCUAUUUUUCUCCCCCUCCCCCUCGAAAGCACCCUGUUUCAUUCACCACCAUAGUAAAGGGCAUAUUGGUAAUGUAACGGGACCAUCUGCCCACUUGCCCAAAUACUACCCCCCUCCCUCGCUCCCACCCCAAAAAAUAAUCGUCCACAUCCAAAAACUUUCUACCAUCAGUUCCCCUUCAUUUCCCAUCCCAAAUCUUUACCUCCUCGCCACCAUCCUAAAUCUUCAACCUCACCACCAUCCACAAUCUUCC